rnacentral:rRNA from 1 species
UACGAAGGGGGCUAGCGUUGCUCGGAAUUCCUGGGCGUAAAGGGCGCGUAGGCGGGUGUUUAAGUCAGAGGUGAAAGCCCAGGGCUCAACCUUGGAACUGCCUUUGAUACUGGGCAUCUUGAGUACGGGAGAGGUGAGUGGAACUCCGAGUGUAGAGGUGAAAUUCGUAGAUAUUCGGAAGAACACCAGUGGCGAAGGCGACUCACUGGCCCGUUACUGACGCUGAGGCGCGAAAGCGUGGGGAGCAAACAGG